rnacentral:rRNA from 1 species
GUCGUAACAAGGUAGCGCUAGGGGAACCUGGCGCUGGAUCACCUCCUUAC